GAGAGUUUGAUCCUGGCUCAGAUUGAACGCUGGCGGCAUGCUUUACACAUGCAAGUCGAACGGCAGCACGGGCUUCGGCCUGGUGGCGAGUGGCGAACGGGUGAGUAAUACAUCGGAACGUACCCAGAAGUGGGGGAUAACGUAGCGAAAGUUACGCUAAUACCGCAUACGUUCUACGGAAGAAAGUGGGGGAUCGCAAGACCUCAUGCUUUUGGAGCGGCCGAUGUCUGAUUAGCUAGUUGGUGAGGUAAAAGCUCACCAAGGCGACGAUCAGUAGCUGGUCUGAGAGGACGACCAGCCACACUGGAACUGAGACACGGUCCAGACUCCUACGGGAGGCAGCAGUGGGGAAUUUUGGACAAUGGGCGCAAGCCUGAUCCAGCAAUGCCGCGUGAGUGAAGAAGGCUUUCGGGUUGUAAAGCUCUUUUGUCAGGGAAGAAACGGUAGAGGCUAAUAUCCUUUGCUAAUGACGGUACCUGAAGAAUAAGCACCGGCUAACUACGUGCCAGCAGCCGCGGUAAUACGUAGGGUGCAAGCGUUAAUCGGAAUUACUGGGCGUAAAGCGUGCGCAGGCGGUUUUGUAAGUCUGACGUGAAAGCCCCGGGCUCAACCUGGGAAUUGCGUUGGAGACUGCAAGGCUUGAAUCUGGCAGAGGGGGGUAGAAUUCCACGUGUAGCAGUGAAAUGCGUAGAGAUGUGGAGGAACACCGAUGGCGAGGGCAGCCCCCCUGGGUCAAGAUUGACGCUCAUGCACGAAAGCGUGGGGAGCAAACAGGNAUUAGAUACCCUGGUAGUCCACGCCCCUAAACGAUGUCUACUAGUUGUCGGGNUUUUAAUUAACUUGGUAACNCANCUAACGCGUGAAGUANACCGCCUGGGGGAGUACGGUCNCAAAANUUAAACUCAAAGGAAUUGACG
rnacentral:rRNA from 1 species